GGUAGCACAACGAGCAGCUUGCUCUCUGGGUGACGAGCGGCGGACGGGUGAGUAAUGUCUGGGAAACUGCCUGAUGGAGGGGGAUAACUACUGGAAACGGUAGCUAAUACCGCAUAACGUCGCAAGACCAAAGAGGGGGACCUUCGGGCCUCUUGCCAUCAGAUGUGCCCAGAUGGGAUUAGCUAGUAGGUGGGGUAAUGGCUCACCUAGGCGACGAUCCCUAGCUGGUCUGAGAGGAUGACCAGCCACACUGGAACUGAGACACGGUCCAGACUCCUACGGGAGGCAGCAGUGGGGAAUAUUGCACAAUGGGCGCAAGCCUGAUGCAGCCAUGCCGCGUGUGUGAAGAAGGCCUUCGGGUUGUAAAGCACUUUCAGCGAGGAGGAAGGUGGUGAGCUUAAUACGCUCAUCAAUUGACGUUACUCGCAGAAGAAGCACCGGCUAACUCCGUGCCAGCAGCCGCGGUAAUACGGAGGGUGCAAGCGUUAAUCGGAAUUACUGGGCGUAAAGCGCACGCAGGCGGUUUGUUAAGUCAGAUGUGAAAUCCCCGGGCUCAACCUGGGAACUGCAUUUGAAACUGGCAAGCUAGAGUCUCGUAGAGGGGGGUAGAAUUCCAGGUGUAGCGGUGAAAUGCGUAGAGAUCUGGAGGAAUACCGGUGGCGAAGGCGGCCCCCUGGACGAAGACUGACGCUCAGGUGCGAAAGCGUGGGGAGCAGACAGGAUUAGAUACCCUGGUAGUCCACGCUGUAAACGAUGUCGAUUUGGAGGUUGUGCCCUUGAGGCGUGGCUUCCGGAGCUAACGCGUU
rnacentral:rRNA from 1 species